GCAGUGCCCUACUUGGAAAGACAUCAGUUGCUUAUAUUACAUGUUACUGUGCUCUUUCUGAGUAGAGUAAGGCU
rfam:Callithrix jacchus chromosome 4, whole genome shotgun sequence